GAUCCAGACAGUCUCCCACUGCCGGUUUUUUGCUCAGGCCCGAAACAGCCAGAACCACAGCCCCCUUGAACAGAAGGGCUUGCCAGAGGAAUUUUCCAAGUGCUCAGAAGGCCAGCCCUCGAAGCUCCUGUGGUCAGCGCGGGAGGCCCCCCGUGAGAUUUGGGGACCGGCUUCAGCUCAGGCCAUGCAAGGCCAGGGUCUGUGUCUCCGAGUGGCCACCCUGCUGACAGGGCUGCUGGAAUGCCUCGGCUUUGCAGGCGUCCUCUUCGGCUGGGCAUCACUGGUGUACGUCUUCAAAACAGAGCAUUACUUUGACGAGCUGUGUGAACCAGAUGCCGGGGCCACGGGCAACUUCACGGUACAGCCUGACUGCAAAGCCCAGGAUGAGAGGUUCUCACUUAUCUUCACCCUGGGGUCCUUCAUGAACAACUUCAUGACAUUCCCUGCCGGCUACAUCUUUGACAGGUUCAAGACCACCGUGGCUCGCCUCAUAGCCAUAUUUCUCUAUACCAGUGCCACCCUCACCAUAGCCUUCAUCUCUGCAGACUCGGCCUUCCUGCUCUUCCUGGCCAUGCCCAUGCUCACUGUUGGAGGAAUCUUGUUCCUGAUCACCAACCUGCAGGUUGGGAACCUAUUUGGUAAACACCGCUCGACCAUCAUCACCCUCUACAAUGGAGCAUUUGACUCCUCCUCGGCUGUCUUCCUCAUCAUUAAGCUCCUUUAUGAACAAGGCAUCAGCCUCAAGGCCUCCUUCAUCUUCCUUUCCGUCUUCAGUGCCUGGCAUGUUGGGCGUACUUUCCUCCUGAUGCCCCGAGGGCACAUCCCCUAUCCGGUGCCCUCGAACUACAGCUACGGCCUGUGCUCUGGGAACGAUGCCAGGGAGGAAGAGAAGAAAACGGCGGAGUCUGAAAAGCUGGAGCUGCAGUCCAAGGAGUCCCUUCCAGCAAAGGAAGAUCCUUCCUCUCCAUCAGAGGCGCUGGGACCAGGGAAGCAGCAGGAGCCCCGCUCUUUCUGGAGCUAUGUUCUCUCUCAGCGCUUUGCCUGGCACCUGGUGUGGCUGUCUGUGAUACAGCUGUGGCAUUACCUCUUCAUCGGCACCCUCAACUCUCUGCUCACCAGCCUGGCCAAGGGUGACAGGGCGCUAGUCAGCGCCUACACAAACGCCUUCGCCAUCACUCAGUUCUUCGGAGUGCUGUGUGCCCCCUGGAACGGCCUGCUCAUGGACCGGCUCAAGCAGAAGUACCAGAAGGAAGCGAAAAGCACAGGGUCCUCGGCCAUGACGGUGGCUCUCCGCUCGGCGGUGCCUUCUCUGGCUCUGACGUCUCUGCUCUGCCUGGGCUUCGCCCUCUGUGCCUCGGUCCCCAUCCUGCCUCUCCAGUAUGUCACUUUCAUCCUGCAAGUGAUCAGCCGCUCCUUCCUCUACGGGGGCAACGCAGCCUUCCUCACCCUCGCUUUCCCUGCGGAGCACUUCGGGAAGCUCUUUGGGCUGGUGAUGGCCUUGUCAGCCAUUGUGUCUCUGCUCCAGUUCCCCAUUUUCACCUUCAUCAAAGGCCCCCUCCAGAACGACCCGCUCUACGUGAACGUGAUGCUGGUGCUGGCCACUGUCUUGACGUUUGUCCACCCCUUUAUGGUGUACUGGGAGUGCCGGCGGGAACGGAAGUCCCCUGCGACUGCCUAGCUCCGAAGCUCUUGCUUUUCACGCUGAGGACGCUUUGCUAAUCUUUCCCCACCUUGGAGGACCCCGUGUCCAGGCGCGCUCUGCCUGCCCAGGCUACCGGUAUUAAUUGGCCAUUGCUGUUUCUUUAAAAAAAUAAAAGACGUUUCACGGCCAGCUGACACCCGGAUUAACAAGAGAAGAGGCCCCGUUGCCACGCUGAUUGCUGUCAGACGGACCCAGAGCAAAGGCCCAUGGAAGUUCUUAGUUUCGGAGCAGGAAGCACAUGACCUUGGUAGACACCCGGUCUAAGGGGAGGUGAUGUGAUGGGGAGGAGGUUUGUCACCUACUUGUUCAGACCUCUUUGGCUGUGAGGCCUCUGUGUGUCGAGCCCUUUGUGCCAGAACUUUCAGUGGCUUCCUGCUGUCCACGGGACACAGCUCGGACUCCAGCCUGGCACGCAGGCUCCCCCAGUGUGAUUCCGACUUCUCCCCGUACUCUUCACCUCACACCUUUAGGAGGACAGAACACAUCCCUGUGGACCAAGCUUCCUGGUCUCUGGGUCUGGGAGCACAUCAGCUCCUCUGCACAGGCUUGCCUUGUCUCUGCUGCCUGGACAGUCUGCCUGGUCCCCUCGGGUUCUGCUCAAAAUAUCCUCUCCGCUGGGGGUGCCUGGGUGGCUCAGUGAGUUGGGCGUCUGACUUCGGCUCAGGUUAUGAUCUCACAGCUCGUGAGUUUGAGCCCUGCUUCGGGCUCUGUGCUGACAGCUCAGAGUCUGGAGCCUGCUUUGGAUUCUGUGUCUCUCUCUCUCUCUCUGCCCCUCCCCUGCUCGCACUCUCUCUGUCUCUCUGUCUCUCUGUC